UACGUAGGGUGCAAGCGUUACUCGGAAUUACUGGGCGUAAAGCGUGCGCAGGCGGUGAUGUAAGCCAGAUGUGAAAUCCCCGGGCUCAACCUGGGAACUGCAUUUGUGACUGCAUCGCUGGAGUGCGGCAGAGGGGGAUGGAAUUCCGCGUGUAGCAGUGAAAUGCGUAGAUAUGCGGAGGAACACCGAUGGCGAAGGCAAUCCCCUGGGCCUGCACUGACGCUCAUGCACGAAAGCGUGGGGAGCAAACAGG
rnacentral:rRNA from 1 species